rnacentral:rRNA from 1 species
UACGAAGGGAGCAAGCGUUGUUCGGAAUUACUGGGCGUAAAGGGCGCGUAGGCGGCGUUUUAAGUCGGGGGUGAAAGCCUGUGGCUCAACCACAGAAUGGCCUCGAUACUGGGACGCUUGAGUAUGGUAGAGGUUGGUGGAACUGCGAGUGUAGAGGUGAAAUUCGUAGAUAUUCGCAAGAACACCGGUGGCGAAGGCGGCCAACUGGACCAUUACUGACGCUGAGGCGCGAAAGCGUGGGGAGCAAACAGG